UACGUAGGGUGCGAGCGUUGUCCGGAUUUAUUGGGCGUAAAGAGCGUGUAGGCGGCCAGGUAGGUCUGCUGUGAAAACUCGAGGCUCAACCUCGAGACGUCGGCGGAAACCAUCUGGCUAGAGUCCGGAAGAGGAGAGUGGAAUUCCUGGUGUAGCGGUGAAAUGCGCAGAUAUCAGGAAGAACACCCGUGGCGAAGGCGGCUCUCUGGGACGGUACUGACGCUGAGACGCGAAAGCGUGGGGGAGCGAACAGG
rnacentral:rRNA from 1 species